rnacentral:rRNA from 1 species
GACGAACGCUGGCGGCGUGCCUAAUACAUGCAAGUAGAACGCUGAAGGAGGAGCUUGCUUCUCCGGAUGAGUUGCGAACGGGUGAGUAACGCGUAGGUAACCUGCCUGGUAGCGGGGGAUAACUAUUGGAAACGAUAGCUAAUACCGCAUAACAGUAGAUGUUGCAUGACAUUUGCUUAAAAGGUGCAAUUGCAUCACUACCAGAUGGACCUGCGUUGUAUUAGCUAGUUGGUGAGGUAACGGCUCACCAAGGCGACGAUACAUAGCCGACCUGAGAGGGUGAUCGGCCACACUGGGACUGAGACACGGCCCAGACUCCUACGGGAGGCAGCAGUAGGGAAUCUUCGGCAAUGGACGGAAGUCUGACCGAGCAACGCCGCGUGAGUGAAGAAGGUUUUGGGAUCGUAAAGCUCUGUUGUAAGAGAAGAACGAGUGUGAGAGUGGAAAGUUCACACUGUGACGGUAUCUUACCAGAAAGGGACGGCUAACUACGUG